rnacentral:rRNA from 1 species
UGGGGAAUAUUGGACAAUGGGCGAAAGCCUGAUCCAGCCAUGCCGCGUGUGUGAAGAAGGUCUUCGGAUUGUAAAGCACUUUAAGUUGGGAGGAAGGGCAGUUACCUAAUACGUGAUUGUUUUGACGUUACCGACAGAAUAAGCACCGGCUAACUCUGUGCCAGCAGCCGCGGUAAUACAGAGGGUGCAAGCGUUAAUCGGAAUUACUGGGCGUAAAGCGCGCGUAGGUGGUUAGUUAAGUUGGAUGUGAAAUCCCCGGGCUCAACCUGGGAACUGCAUUCAAAACUGACAAGCUAGAGUAUGGUAGAGGGUGGUGGAAUUUCCUGUGUAGCGGUGAAAUGCGUAGAUAUAGGAAGGAACACCAGUGGCGAAGGCGACCACCUGGACUGAUACUGACACUGAGGUGCGAAAGCGUGGGGAGCAAACAGGAUUAGAUACCCGCGUAGUCCCUGAGCGGGCUGGCAAGGCGCAU